UACGGAGGGGGGCUAGCGUUGUUCGGAAUUACUGGGCGUAAAGCGCACGUAGGCGGCUUUGUAAGUUAGAGGUGAAAGCCCGGGGCUCAACUCCGGAAUUGCCUUUAAGACUGCAUCGCUCGAAUUGUGGAGAGGUAAGUGGAAUUCCGAGUGUAGAGGUGAAAUUCGUAGAUAUUCGGAAGAACACCAGUGGCGAAGGCGACUUACUGGACACAUAUUGACGCUGAGGUGCGAAAAGCGU
rnacentral:rRNA from 1 species